UGCAAGGCCUCAGAUGCAACUUCCAGUGCUGUGAGAGGACCUGGAAGUCAUGUCAGAGACCCCACAAGGCCUUGGACACCAUCUGUGAGGCCCUGUGAGGCCCUGGACAUGACUUUUGGUGCUUCGCGAGGCCCCAGAAGUUGUGUUGGAGGUCGAGGUACCGAGCACCCACAACAAAAUUUUGUAUGUGCCUGGCCCCCCAGGGCCCCCUAUGGUUGGCACCAGUGAGCUUGAGGGAGAGAGUAGAGGGAGAGACAACUGCAGGAAAAUCCCCAAAACAUUUGGAGCUUACUACAGGAGCCAAGUCAGGUAUGUCAUGCUCCAUUACUGCUUCAGUAGAACAUCAAUAGAACACAACAGCAGAGAGAAUGCAAUGGAAAACAAGCUGAGAAUGUUCAAUAAACCCAUAGCCAUGCUCUAGGCUGUGGUCAAUAAAACUGGAUGGGAGGCUUUCCUAUUCUGCUUUUCUUUCCCUC